CUCCUCUCAGACUUGCACAUGGAGAGUUUCCAGUACUCUACCAGUCUCGACUAUGGGAGGGAGAGUCAAGCAGAAGCAUAUUCAUUCCAUCCCUAGCUUGGGCAGUGGCUAGCCAGUGGAAGACAAUCUGCUAUAAGU
rnacentral:snoRNA from 2 species